GGUGCUGUGGCUCAAGUGGUAGAGUGCUAGCUUUGCAUGCCUGAGGCCCUGGGUUCGAUUCCUCAGCACCA
rfam:Dipodomys ordii contig_38331, whole genome shotgun sequence.